rnacentral:rRNA from 1 species
UACAGAGGUCUCGAGCGUUAGGCGGAAUCACUGGGCUUAAAGCGUGUGUAGGUGGAUGCCUAAGUACCUUGUGAAAUCCCACAGCUUAACUGUGGAACUGCUUGGUAUACUGGGUGUCUUGAGUCACUCAGGGGCGAGCGGAACAAAUGGUGGAGCGGUGAAAUGCGUAGAUAUCAUUUGGAACGCCAAUGGUGAAAACAGCUCGCUGGGAAUGAUCUGACACUGAGACGCGAAAGCCAGGGGAGCGAACGGG